rnacentral:lncRNA from 1 species
GUGCAUACCCAACAAUAAUUGAAACUAGUAUACUACUGAUGCAGAAAUGUGUUGAUGAAACACCAUAGAAAUUGCAGAAGAAAUUGUGUAAAUCAGAAAUUAGAACAUUUCAAAUAAAUGGAAAAGGGGUGGAUUUUCACCAAAUGGGUGGGUUUAAGGACUAAAAAUUUGGGAAAAUAAGGAAGUUUCUCCAUUUUACACCAAACAGUAAAAGUAACUCCAAUUUGAUUAAAGUUUUAGAAGUACAAAAACGACACUAUAAAAACAAUAGAAGAAAUAUAUGUGAGUAUUAAUGCAUUCUUGGGAAUGGGGUGUGCUUUCUAUCAUACUCAAGGCAGAAAUAAUAAAGAAAAGGAUUGAUUGAUUUUUCUACAUAACAUUACAAUUUUACAUGUAAAGGACGAAUAAAAUUAUAAUGCAAUCAACAGAUAGAAAAACAGCUAUACAUGUAUGACAGCCCAAGGAUUGAUAGGCUGAGUAUAUAAAGAGUUCCUGCAAACCAAUUUAAAAUCACACAAAUGAAAAAUGGAAAGAACGUGCAAAAGCAAUCCAUAAAGGAAACGCGUCUGCCACGAGUAAAGUAUUAGAGGGACUCUCCCAAAUAAAGAGAUACAUGGACAUAGGCUUUAUGACUGUUUUUUGGGUAAUUUUAUGAUCUCCCCAGUCCCAUUCUUGGUUCUUGAAUGGUUAAAUUUGUCAGUUAAAUGUGCAGGAGUAAAGAAAGAUUUUCACUGAUGAAAUGCGAAAUAUGAUAAUGUGAUGAAGCCACAUUUUCACUGGGCUUCCAUUGAGCCAAUAUUACACUUACAAGUAGCUUGAGCUAAGAACGCAGACCAUGAACACAAGAUAGGUAAAAGUUCCUUGGCUUUUCCAGCCUGGAAUCCAUGGUUUUGUCUUCAUUUACAUAGUUGUCCUAAGUUCUUGAAGUAAGCAGCCACAGACGCUGGACAUUGUCUUCCAUCUCUUUUGACACAGGGAUCAGGUGUGUGGAGGCAGGUCAGUGGAGUGGUCAAAGAGGAGGAUCUAGACUACUCUAGAGUCAGGGCCACCUGACUUGGAAUGCUGGCUCACAAUUUACAGUCUGAGUUCUUAACCUCUCUGAGCCUUACUUUCCCAAUUGUAAAAUAGGGAUAAGACUAGUACCUACCUUAUAAAGUUGCUGUGAAUAUUUAAUAUGAUUAUACCUAUGAAGCACUUAGCAUUGUGGCUGAUGCAUAGGAACAACUCAGUAAUUGUUGGCUAUUAUCUUCAUUAUGGGCAAAGAAGUUUAAAUCUCUUCCUUCUGGAUAAAAAUGCCCUCAAAUAUCAAAGGAUGAUUUAGUUACCCCUUAUGUGGAAUUCAUGUGCUACCUUGGGAAAAAUAUAGUUCUUGGCAUUAGAAGAUCUGAUCCUAGUCCCAACUCUGCCUCUAACUAACGUCAGCAAUCACAUCACUACCCUGGGCCUCAGUUUACUGAUCUGCUAAAUAAAGUAGUUGAAUUACCUAUUGCUGUACCCCUUUCUGUGCAACAUUCUGCCCCAGAGAAAUACAAAACAGCACAUAAAUCAUGGUCUUUAAAUAUAGCUGUGUCUACAGUAGGUAAUAAUGAGAGUCUUUGAGCUAAUAGAAGUCAUAGUUUUUAAAGCCUAAAGGGAAGUGUGUAUUAAUUUGCUAAACAGCUGGAAUUACAUCAAUCUAUUAUACCACUGAUUAUGGAUUAUGUCAUGUCAAUCAGAAGCUCUAAUUGGCAGUUAAGUAUCUUUGAUUAAUUUUUUUAGUUACUUAAUAAAAGGUGUUCAUUUAGUGUGCUACAAAUCAUAAAGAGCUCUUUAGGUGAAAAGUUUGCAAAUCACUAGGCUGUGGGCUUAGUAUCAGUGAAGAUAUCCCAACCACUAACAGCUUCAUAGGAAAGCCAAAGUCGACACUCAUUUACUCUACAGAGCAUGUAACAGUAGUAACAAGGAAGUUACCCAAUAGUGUUGGGUAUUUAUAGUGAGCUGGGAACUUUCCAAAUCUAUGUGGAUUAUCUCCUUUAAUCCUCACAACCAUCUGUUUAUUUCCACUUCAAAAAUAAGAAAAUUGAAACUUCAGAAUGGGACCUAUUGUCAUCUCCAGAAUUAGAUGAAUCUCCAGAAUUGCAGUGUUUCAAGAGUAAAGGAAUCUACAAAAAAUAGUUUGAAAAUAUUUGAAAUUAAAC